AUUGAACGCUGGCGGCAUGCUUUACACAUGCAAGUCGAACGGUAACAGGCCGCAAGGUGCUGACGAGUGGCGCACGGGUGAGUAAUGCAUCGGAACGUGCCCAGUCGUGGGGGAUAACUACUCGAAAGAGUAGCUAAUACCGCAUACGAUCUAUGGAUGAAAGCGGGGGACCGUAAGGCCUCGCGCGAUUGGAGCGGCCGAUGUCAGAUUAGGUAGUUGGUGGGGUAAAGGCUCACCAAGCCAACGAUCUGUAGCUGGUCUGAGAGGACGACCAGCCACGCUGGGACUGAGACACGGCCCAGACUCCUACGGGAGGCAGCAGUGGGGAAUUUUGGACAAUGGGCGCAAGCCUGAUCCAGCAAUGCCGCGUGCAGGAAGAAGGCCUUCGGGUUGUAAACUGCUUUUGUACGGAACGAAACGGCUCUGGUUAAUACCCGGGGCUAAUGACGGUACCGUAAGAAUAAGCACCGGCUAACUACGUG
rnacentral:rRNA from 1 species